AUUAUUUAUAUCAGUGCAAAAAAAAGCACUUGUAAAAUAUACACUCUUCAGUAAUAGCCAAAUAUGGAAGGCGCGGAUAUGCAACCGCACACCCAGGCAGACUCUGUAAAUGGGAAGAGCCACUUGUGCCCCUUCCUUUGCAUUGUGCAGUCACGUGACUACAAAUUCCACCCAAGGAUGUCUACAGUUGUAGACCACACGGAGACCCGAUGAAGUAGAGAAGAGAACAUGAAUGUAAGCCUGGGCACUCUCUGGGUUUAGUUAGGCCAGGGAGGAAUUGUUCAACAUUUUAACAGUAUGAGUGAUGGUAAAAACUGUGAGGUAUACUGAUGGUUCCCUGCCGAAUCUGACAGAAUAACCAAAGGCAAAAAUGCAGUGAAUGUACAAGCAAUUUGAAAGCAGAAAGGGCAAACCUGGCUGAGCAAGUCCAGCAUUUUCUCCCAGGCUUUGCUGUGAUCUGAUACCUCUGGGUGACAUCGAGACUAAAAGUAAACAAAGAGCAUUCAGAAGGAUCAGCGGGAUAAUGAGUGGGGUUCAGGGGAGGCCUGUGAUAGCAGUGGCCGAGGUCACAGGGACAUGUUGCCAUUCCCUAUCAUUUCUAUGUAUCCCUUUCAUCCUCAGCCGAUGAUGGAAGAGAUCCAAGAUCUUAGACUUUGCUGGGCGUCUCAAGUGAGGGGCAGAAGAGUGGAGUAGGAGAGGGAGGGCUCCCCCUUCUUCUAUAUUCAUGGGGAGCUCAUUGUGUCCCUUCAUCUUCCAGGGUAGCAUGGAUAGUAGUUGGUAUCCGGAAAGCCAAAGCUCACAGGCAAAAGGCCUGCACCUUCUCUGUACGGACAGCCUGGGCGUUCUUGGGCUAAUUAGUGAGUGUCUGUGUGUGUGUGGGGGGGGGCAUGUGUCUUUGUGUAUAUGUGUAUGAGGUGUAUGUAGGUAUGGGGGCCUCUGUGUGGGGGGUGGCAUGUGUCUUUGUGUCUAUGUGUAUGAGGCAUAUGUGGUGAGGUGUAUGUAGGUGUGGGGGCCUCUGUGGGUGUGGGGAGGCAUGUGUCUUUGUGUCUAUGUGUAUGAGGUGUAUGUAGGUGUGUGUGGGGGGCAUGUGUCUUUGUGUCUAUGUGUAUGAGACAUAUGUAGGUGUGUGGGGGGCAUGUGUCUUUGUGUCUAUGUGUAUGAUGUGUGGGGCAUGCGUCUUUGUGUCUAUGUGUAUGAGGCGUAUGUAGGUGUGUGUGUGGGGCAUGCGUCUUUGUGUCUAUGUGUAUGAGGCGUAUGUAGGUGUGUGUGUGGGGCAUGCGUCUUUGUGUCUAUGUGUAUGAGGCGUAUGUAGGUGUGUGUGGGGGGCCUCUGUGUGUGUGGGGGGGCAUGUGUCUUUGUGUCUAUGUGUAUGAGGCGUAUGUAGGUGUGUGUGGGGGGGCAUGUGUCUUUGUGUCUAUGUGUAUGAGGCAUAUGUAGGUGUGUGUGGGGGGGCCUCUGUAUGUGUGUGGGGGGGCAUGUGUCUUUGUGUCUAUGUGUAUGAUUUGCUGGGCGUCUCAAGUGAGGGGCAGAAGAGUGGAGUAGGAGAGGGAGGGCUCCCCCUUCUUCUAUAUUCAUGGGGAGCUCAUUGUGUCCCUUCAUCUUCCAGGGUAGCAUGGAUAGUAGUUGGUAUCCGGAAAGCCAAAGCUCACAGGCAAAAGGCCUGCACCUUCUCUGUACGGACAGCCUGGGCGUUCUUGGGCUAAUUAGUGAGUGUCUGUGUGUGUGUGGGGGGGGGCAUGUGUCUUUGUGUAUAUGUGUAUGAGGUGUAUGUAGGUAUGGGGGCCUCUGUGUGGGGGGUGGCAUGUGUCUUUGUGUCUAUGUGUAUGAGGCGUAUGUAGGUGUGUGUGGGGGGGCAUGUGUCUUUGUGUCUAUGUGUAUGAGGCGUAUGUAGGUGUGUGUGGGACAUGUGUCUUUGUGUCUAUGUGUAUGAGGCGUAUGUAGGUGUGUGUGGGGGGCAUGUGUCUGUGUCUAUGUGUAUGAGGCAUAUGUAGGUGUGUGUGGGGGGGCCUCUGUAUGUGUGUGGGGGGGCAUGUGUCUUUGUGUCUAUGUGUAUGAGGCGUAUGUAGGUGUGUGUGGGGGGGCCUCUGUAUGUGUGUGGGGGGGCAUGUGUCUUUGUGUCUAUGUGUAUGAGGCGUAUGUAGGUGUGUGUGGGGGGGCAUGUGUCUUUGUGUCUAUGUGUAUGAGGCGUAUGUAGGUGUGUGUGGGACAUGUGUCUUUGUGUCUAUGUGUAUGAGGCGUAUGUAGGUGUGUGUGGGGGGCAUGUGUCUGUGUCUAUGUGUAUGAGGCAUAUGUAGGUGUGUGUGGGGGGCAUGCAUCUUUGUGUCUAUGUGUAUGAGGCAUAUGUAGGUGUGUGUGGGGGGGCCUCUGUAUGUGUGUGGGGGGGCAUGUGUCUUUGUGUCUAUGUGUAUGAGGCAUAUGUAGGUGUGUGUGGGGGGGCCUCUGUAUGUGUGUGGGGGGGCAUGUGUCUUUGUGUCUAUGUGUAUGAGGGGUAUGUAGGUGUGUGUGGGGGGGCAUGUGUCUUUGUGUCUAUGUGUAUGAGGCGUAUGUAGGUGUGUGUGGGACAUGUGUCUUUGUGUCUAUGUGUAUGAGGCGUAUGUAGGUGUGUGUGGGGGGCAUGUGUCUGUGUCUAUGUGUAUGAGGCAUAUGUAGGUGUGUGUGGGGGGCAUGCAUCUUUGUGUCUA
rnacentral:lncRNA from 1 species